UACGAAGGGGGCUAGCGUUGUUCGGAAUUACUGGGCGUAAAGCGCACGCAGGCGGAUUUAUAAGUCAGGGGUGAAAUCCCGGGGCUCAACCUCGGAAUUGCCUUUGAUACUGUCUAUCUUGAGUCCGGGAGAGGUGAGUGGAAUUCCUAGUGUAGAGGUGAAAUUCGUAGAUAUUAGGAGGAACACCAGUGGCGAAGGCGGCUCACUGGCCCGGUACUGACGCUCAUGUGAGAAAGCGUGGGGAGCAAACAGG
rnacentral:rRNA from 1 species